rnacentral:rRNA from 1 species
GGCGGCAUGCCUUACACAUGCAAGUCGAACGGCAGCACGGGAGCAAUCCUGGUGGCGAGUGGCGAACGGGUGAGUAAUAUAUCGGAACGUGCCCAGUCGUGGGGGAUAACGCAGCGAAAGCUGUGCUAAUACCGCAUACGAUCUCUGGAUGAAAGCGGGGGACUCGCAAGGGCCUCGCGCGAUUGGAGCGGCCGAUAUCAGAUUAGCUAGUUGGUGGGGUAAAAGCCCACCAAGGCGACGAUCUGUAGCUGGUCUGAGAGGACGACCAGCCACACUGGAACUGAGACACGGUCCAGACUCCUACGGGAGGCAGCAGUGUUUUUCUUUUUUCUAUGGGCGCAA